UACGUAGGGACCAAGCGUUGUUCGGAUUUACUGGGCGUAAAGGGCGCGUAGGCGGCCACCGCAAGUCGACUGUGAAAUCUCCGGGCUUAACCCGGAACGGUCAGCCGAUACUGCGGGGCUAGAGUGCAGAAGGGGCAACUGGAAUUCUCGGUGUAGCGGUGAAAUGCGUAGAUAUCGAGAGGAACACCUGCGGCGAAGGCGGGUUGCUGGGCUGACACUGACGCUGAGGCGCGAAAGCUAGGGGAGCGAACGGG
rnacentral:rRNA from 1 species